rnacentral:rRNA from 1 species
AGGUAGGGAUACCCGCUGAACUUAAGCAUAUCAAUAAGCGGAGGAAAAGAAACCAACAGGGAUUGCCUUAGUAACGGCGAGUGAAGCGGCAAAAGCUCAAAUUUGAAAUCUGACACCUUUGGUGUUCGAGUUGUAAUUUGGAGAGGCAUCUUCUGGAGGGGCCCAGCCUAUGUGCCUUGGAACAGGACGUCAUAGAGGGUGAGAAUCCCGUACUUGACUGGAUGUUCCCUCCUGUAUGUAGUGUCUUCUACGAGUCGAGUUGUUUGGGAAUGCAGCUCAAAAUGGGUGGUAAAUUUCAUCUAAAGCUAAAUAUUGGCGAGAGACCGAUAGCGCACAAGUAGAGUGAUCGAAAGAUGAAAAGCACUUUGAAAAUAGAGUCAAACAGUACGUGAAAUUGUUGAAGGGGAAGCGCUUGGGACCUAUCCUGGCCAUUGA